UUCAUUUUAGACGAUUUUAUCUCUCUUUCUGGUUAUGAGCUCGGAUAUCUAGUCCCUCUUGAAGUGACCCUUUGUCAGUCGGUGCGGUCUGGGCUGUAUGCUCCACUGGGAUGGGGAGUUCAGCUUUUUUGUCGUUUUCCUCUCCCAGGGUCAUUUUUGCUAAGUGUUUGUUUACUGUGAGUUAAUCCGAGCUGUGGGCAGGGUCUCUUGCUUUUGUCGUGAGUCC
rnacentral:lncRNA from 1 species